rnacentral:rRNA from 2 species
UACGUAGGGUGCAAGCGUUGUCCGGAAUUAUUGGGCGUAAAGAGCUCGUAGGCGGUUUGUCGCGUCUGCUGUGAAAACGCGAGGCUCAACCUCGCGCCUGCAGUGGGUACGGGCAGACUGGAGUGCGGUAGGGGAGAUUGGAAUUCCUGGUGUAGCGGUGGAAUGCGCAGAUAUCAGGAGGAACACCGAUGGCGAAGGCAGAUCUCUGGGCCGUAACUGACGCUGAGGAGCGAAAGCGUGGGGAGCGAACAGG